rnacentral:rRNA from 1 species
CUGGCUCAGGAUGAACGCUAGCGGCAGGCUUAACACAUGCAAGUCGAGGGGCAUCGGGAGUAGCAAUACUGCCGGCGACCGGCGCAAGGGUGCGUAACGCGUGAGCAACAUGCCCGUAUCAGGGGGAUAAUCCAUGGAAACGUGGUCUAAUACCCCAUAGUAAUUAUGUAAGGCAUCUUAUAUAAUUUAAAGCUUUGGUGGAUACGGAUUGGCUCGCGUGACAUUAGCUGGAUGGUAAGGUAACGGCUUACCAUGGCUACGAUGUCUAGGGGUUCUGAGAGGAAGGUCCCCCCACACUGGAACUGAGACACGGUCCAGACUCCUACGGGAGGCAGCAGUGAGGAAUAUUGGACAAUGGAUGGAAAUCUGAUCCAGCCAUGCCGCGUGCAGGAAAGACGGCCCUAUGGGUUGUAAACUGCUUUUGUAUGGGAGCAAUAAGGGCUACGUGUAGUCCGAUGAGAGUACCAUACGAAUAAGCACCGGCUAACUCCGUGCCAGCCGCUGC